ACAAACAGCCAAAAAACACAUGAAAAGAUGCUUCGCGUCAUUAGUAACUAAGGAAAUGCAAAUCAAAACCAGAAUGGGAUAUCACUUCACGCCCACUAGCAUAGUUAUAAUAAAAAAAAAGAGAAAACAACAAGUGUUGAUGAGAAUGUAGAGAAAUUGGAACCCUCAUACAUUGCUGCUGGGAAUGUAAAGUGGUUCAACUGCUGUGAAAAUCAGUUUGGCAGUUCCUAGAAAGAUUAAAUAUAGAAUUACCACAUGACCUAGCAAUUUCAUUCCUAGGUAUAUACCUGAGAGAAUUGAAACAUGUGCUCACACAAAGACUCGUACAUGAAUGUUAAUAGUGGCAUUAUUCAUAAUUGCCAAAACGUAGCACCAACCAAUGUCCGCCAGCUGAUGAACAGACUAACAAAAUGUAUGUCCAUACAAUUGAAUAUUAUUUAGCCAUAAAGAGCCAAAGUGACCUGCUGAUAGGUACUACAACAUGGAUGAACCUUGACAAUAUUAUGCUAAGCGAAAGACGCCAGUCACAAAAGGUGUUAUAUGAUUUCAUUGAUAUAAAAUGUCCAGAACAGGCAAGUCCAUAGAGUGGAGGAUCCAGAAAGUGGAUUGGCACGUUGCCAGGGGGCAUGAAGGAGGAAGGGAAUUUGGACUAACAGCUAAUAGGGUUGGGGUUUCUUUUUGGGGUGAUAGAAAUGUUCUAGAAUUAGAUACUGGUGAUGGUUACACACCAUAGUGAAUAUACUAAAAACCACAGAAGUGUACAUCUUAAAAUCGUGAAUUUUAUGUUAUGUGAAUUAUACCUUAGUCAAAAUGGUAAAACAAAACAAUGAAAUUUAUGUGAGCACCUUUGCCCUCUGAAGACAGUACUUUGCAGGGGCUGAGGGAGGAAGCAGUUUCUUGUAAUUGCUGCCUAAAUGUACGUGAACACGUUGAAAAGAAUGUAUGUCUGGUGACUGCAGUUUGAAUCAUGGUGAAAACAUUUUUUAUUUCCUUCCACACCAAAUUGGGUUCAGGAGGUUUACUGAGCACUCUCAGUGGUUCUCUGUGAAUUAAACAGUGUUCAAACCGGCAUUCAUGUGAUGAUAAUAAUAAUUAAACUUUACUGAGUAUUUCCUACAUGCCAGACAAUGCCCUAAGUCCUUUAUAUGGAUUUCUUCACUAAUCUUUACCAGUAAUUAUUAUUACUAUUAUUAUCAUCAUUCCUAAUUUUCAGGGGAAAAAACCGAAGCAGAGAGAGGGACAAGCUCUUUUAUUAGAAUUUCACCUCUCUGCCUUCUUGCUCCCAAAGCCAGUGUUCUCAUUUGUGUUGAUUCCAACAUGUAUUUUUCACUCACAAAAUAAACUCUAACAGCACAAGAUACUUUUCUCUAGUAGUAGGGACUUUUAGAGAUAAACAGAAAAAAAUUCACUGACUACUUUGCCCUCAUGUUUUCCUCCUUUUAAAAGCUACUUCACAGUCUGUAUAAGAGGAUUUUAGCCAACCGUAGAGAACUGAAUGCCAACAUACAUACGUGAUGGCGACUGCUUGCCAUUGUUAUGUGACAUCCAACAAUGGCAUUUGAUAAAACUCUUUCUCUCCUAGUCUUUAUGUCACUAACUUCACAACUGGUUUGUCCGUCUUGUUUGUCGUGGCGUGACUCGCACCUGUAUUUGCUCUGAGGCGUGAGGGCAAAUGUGAGUCAUGUGUUAUAUUCUUGGUGGCUUUCUCUCUCUUUGGCACAAAAUUAAACUUUUCUUCUGGGAAAUGCUAUUUCGUGCUUCUUCUGGAAAAAAUCAGUAGGCUCUGACUGUGACCCACACAAAAGCUUUGAUGACUUUGAGCCAGGAUUUGACAUUUCACAGCCGAUGCUGCCUUGGGGCCAAGAGGUGGCUACGCAAUAAAGCUCAAUUUCCAGAUAAUCCUUGCGGUGGUUUCUAUCCGCAGUUUCUUUUGCUUAUUGUGCAAAAUAAUCACGCUUCCCUUUUCCUCCCUCCCAGCCCCUGUGGACAUAUUCUAUCCACCCUGAAAUCUGGUUCCCUGUUUAUGGAUCACUGUUCUAAGUUGUCGUCUCUCUUACUAUUUUCAUGGCUACUUUUAUGAGUCAACGAAGCACUUUUGAACCAUUCAUGACUUUUUGUAAUUUGGGGAUGUAACAUAGCUCAACGGUGUGAAUACAUAAAGCACAUUUUAAAGCAUAAACAAAAACAUGCAUAUGACAGGAAAACAAGAUUAGCCAAGGUAAACUGCCCCUAUUAAUUAAAGCAGUCCUGAAAACUUUGAGUGCAAUCAUGAUUAAGGACGUAAUAACUAUUAACACAGUGAGACUUCCGUGAUAUCGUCAUCAAUGCCGUAUUUCAAAUUUGCAAAACUUAGGGAACAAAAUCGUUCAUCACUUUCCCCCCUGAAACUACUGGUCUCCUGAGGACCCAUUGAUGCAACUGCCCUUGGAAACAGUUCACUGCUUCAAGAGAUUUUAAAUUCCUCAGAGACGGGCCGUGGGGAAGAUGACCAAGGACAGCUAGGUGGACAGAGGCUAUCUGAAGUGUGGAGGGGAGACUCGGAGAGGGGACUCAGGAGCACGUUCCCACGGAGUCCAUUUCCUCCUCUGGCCGCGGAGUCCUAUGCGAUGGCUACAGCCCACCACAAGAGGGCACUGUAGAACCAGGGAUGCCAGCCUCCGACCCGGCGGAUCUAUUAGUAGUAUUCUCCUCCAGGCGAUUUCCAGCAGCUACCCAACACUCUGUUCUUUCAUCAUAUUAAUUUUGUUUUUCUCUCUUAUGUUCAGAGUUCCUAACCUGGUGACUUUGGUCAGGCUUCUGAUGCUCAGUGAACAUCUAGAAUUUACAUGUAAAAUAUGCAUGCCUGUGAUUAGCUGCAUUUUUCUAUCUAGAGGGAGCUUUCAUAGUUUUGAUCAAACUCUCAAAGGGACUUGUGACCUCCCCAGCCCCAAAAGCAGUAGCAUUUCUUUGAAGGUGUAGAAGACAGUGAUAUGAAGUACUUAUGUCAUUGUUGUCUACGUCUUCAAGCACUUCAUAUAUGUUAUUUAACAUAAUCCUCGAAACUACCUUGCAACAUAUCCCCACAAAGAACAGAAGUUCAAGAAGGCGAAAGGACUUUGCCCGGGUCACACAGCUACCAAGUGACAAGGCUGUGAUGUCAUUCUAGGAAGGGCUGACUCUCACUGCGCUGUUGCCACAAUGAAAAAAAAGUGAGAGACUCAUUUGUUGACUAGCAAAGAUGUAGGACGUACUGAGUGUGGUCCAGCCGCCCACGUGCUGGGUGCCAGGGACCAAGCGGGGAGCGAAGCAGCCUUGCUUCCUGCCUUCAGGGCUUAGCGCCUGGAGGUGGGGGCGGCGGAGGGGGUCAUGUUAGUGGGAAACAGACAGUAAACAAAUAAACAUGUAAUUGCAAAUUGAGAAAAGUACUCUGAAGGAAAUAAACAGAGGACAGCGACAUAGAAAAGUGGGGAAAUCUACAGACAGGUUGGCCAGGGAAGGCCUGUCUGAGGAAAUGGCAUGUGAGCUCAGACUAAAGGAUGAAGGAGCCUGCCGUGGGCAGAGGUGGAGACAGAGCCUUCCAGGAAAGGGCGAGCUGCCUGGGGAUGCAUCUGAGAGGCAGCCGGUGGCUGAGCAGGGAACCAGGAGCAAAGGCAAGAGUGACAGUGAAACAGAAGUCAUCAGCGCUUUCCGUGUUAGGCAGUGGAGAGACAGUAGCGAACAAAACAGACACAAAGAAAUCCUUGCCCCGUGGAGCUGGCUUCCUAGCAGGAGAUGUGUUUAGACUGAACCACCUGCCGGACAAGCCUGAACCAACUGCUGGACACGACUGAACCACCUUAGGUUUGUUCUUGAUGUGAAAGCCACCAGCAGGUUAAGUUACUCACGGGUGCUGGGAUCCAGAUGUGGAGUGAAUUACAAGAGUGUGUCACUUUUGGUGCCUGGGGGUGUGACACUGGAGGGAAAUGGAAAGAGGGCCAGGACUUGGUGUCUAAGGCCUGGAGCUGUGUGACCUUGAAUAAAUCAUUUACUUUUCUUGAAACUUGCCUGUUAGCUGAUCCGUAAAGUGGGGGAGUAAUCCCUCAUUCCCGGAAUUGUUGUGGAAUUAAAUGAAAGUGUUGCUUAAAUAA